UACGUAGGGUGCAAGCGUUGUCCGGAAUUAUUGGGCGUAAAGAGCUCGUAGGCGGUCUGUCACGUCGGGUGUGAAAAUCCAGGGCUUAACCCUGGACCUGCAUCCGAUACGGGCAGACUAGAGUUCGGUAGGGGAGACUGGAAUUCCUGGUGUAGCGGUGAAAUGCGCAGAUAUCAGGAGGAACACCAAUGGCGAAGGCAGCUCGCUGGGACGGUACUGACGCUGAGACGCGAAAGCGUGGGGAGCAAACAGG
rnacentral:rRNA from 1 species